CCGGCGACCGGCGCACGGGUGAGUAACACGUAUGCAACCUGCCCUCUUCAGGGGGACAACCUUCCGAAAGGGAGGCUAAUCCCGCGUAUAUCGGUUUCGGGCAUUCGAGAUCGAGGAAAGAUUCAUCGGAAGAGGAUGGGCAUGCGGCGCAUUAGCUAGACGGCGGGGUAACGGCCCACCGUGGCGACGAUGCGUAGGGGUUCUGAGAGGAAGGUCCCCCACACUGGUACUGAGACACGGACCAGACUCCUACGGGAGGCAGCAG
rnacentral:rRNA from 1 species